UCAGUCAUGGCGUCGCGGUAGGAAUAGGUGAAGUGUGUGUUGUGGUACGCGGGAUCAAAGUCUGUGGUAACUGCUCAGAGAAAUUUUAUGCGGUUGUAUCCAAAAGAUGCUCCAACUGAUAAGUCUAUACAUAAAUGGUACCAACACUUCCAAAAAAAAAUCCAGCAUUGUCGUGAAAGGACAUUCACCAGAUAACUGAACUUGACGGGCUCACUUUCUAACAAGAUGGUGCACCACCCCACUUUGGUACCACUGUACGCACUGCUCUGGACGAGCAAUUUCCUGGUCGAUGGAUCAGCAGAGCAGAGCCGAUUUAUUGGGCCCCCACGGAGUUCUUCUGGGGGUACAUCAAAGCGAGAGGCUGGAGUCUCCUCCCGAUUUGCGCCAUAGGAUUAUAUCAGCUAUCGCUGAGGUGACUGUGUAUGUGUUAUCUCGGGUGUGGGGUUAAGUGAAAUUUCGUUUCGACCUCUGUAGGGCCGUCAGUUGUGCUCACAUUGAAUUGCACUAAAUGACACUAAAACGUGACGAGAUUCCCUACUAAUUUUUGUAUAAAUAUUUAUAACAAACUCCGGAGUUCUCUCUUGGACACCCUGUACUUAGCAGAUAUGAAAACUCUAAGCAGACGGCUUUCCACUCUACUAUGUUACUGAUAUGUGGUUAAUGUUGUUGGCAUGUGGGCUACUUGGUUAUUAUAUUACACUGUGUCUACUUUUGAGAUUCUGUAGUGUUCAAUCGCAUGACAUAAUGGCUAUGGAUGAUGACUUGGGAGGAAACAGUCAUGGCUUACUUUAAGCUGCUAUCUUGGCACUAAUUUAUUCAAUGACAUUUUACCCAACUACCAAUUGGAAGUUAAUGCAGAACUGUGAUAAAUAUAAAUUUAUUUAUAAGAGACAUACUACUUGUCUAUUAUCAAGCAUGUUUUGUGUUGCCUGUUGACUUAAAUAGUAUUUCUGGAGCCCUCCCGAAAGGUCUGAAUAAAACAAACAAAACAUUCAGA